AACGAACGCUGGCGGCAUGCCUAACACAUGCAAGUCGAACGAGAUCUUCGGGUCUAGUGGCGCACGGGUGCGUAACGCGCGGGAAUCUGCCCUUUGGUUCGGUAUAACAGUUGGAAACGACUGCUAAUACCGGAUGAUGACGAAAGUCCAAAGAUUUAUCGCCAGAGGAUGAGCCCGCGUAGGAUUAGCUAGUUGGUGUGGUAAAGGCGCACCAAGGCGACGAGCCUUAGCUGGUCUGAGAGGAUGAUCAGCCACACUGGGACUGAGACACGGCCCAGACUCCUACGGGAGGCAGCAGUGGGGAAUAUCGGACAAUGGGCGCAAGCCUGACCCAGCAAUGCCGCGUGAGUGAUGAAGGCCUUAGGGUUGUAAAGCUCUUUUACCCGGGAUGAUAAUGACAGUACCGGGAGAAUAAGCUCCGGCUAACUCCGUGCCAGCAGCCGCCGCCG
rnacentral:rRNA from 1 species